ACGGGAGGAUCGGUAGGGUGGGAGAUGCUGCAGAGGCUUCCGUGAGACUGGAUAAGAAAACAAAAAUCUGGUGAAAUUGGCGGCAAGGAGGGAGUUAAGGACAUUCCAGGCAGAGGCAAGUUACUUCCCAUGGAAGAAUAAUGUUACAGAAUGAAAAGCUAACAUAACUCAGGACUUGAUGGGCGAAGAGGAGGUCUUGAAUUUUGUGAAAACGGGAACUGCCUUCAGCUCCCUGCAACAGAAGAACCCAAACAGAAGAACCCAAAAGGGUGGACCUGAAGGAGGAGGGCUGCAGGCAUUUGCCUCAGCCAAGAGGCUGCUCUGUGGAGGGGACGCAUGGUAGCUGAGCACUGUUCCAGCCAACCACCCUGUGCUUCAGCAUUGAGGAUGAGGAUGCCAAGGUCAUGGGAUUUAUCCAAGAGUCUUGGUGAAUUCAGUAGUCUGGGCUACAGUGAUUGUCUAAUCAGUAAUAGGAGAGAAUUCAAUAAUAGAAGUAAUAAGAAGAGAAUUCCUCAUAUAAUAGAAGCAAUAAGAGAAUUCCUCAUGUUCCUAAAGGUACACUGAACCCUCCUCCCGACCCCCACCCAAUAAAGCUCAGCCACAAACACAUCA